ensembl:snRNA U7 U7 small nuclear RNA
CAGUGUUAUUGCUCUUUUAGAAUUGGUCUAGCAGGUUUUCCGGUCUCUACUGGACGACCCAC